UUUAUUAGUUAUCAAGUUAGGAGUCUUUGAGGUGCUUGACAUGAUUAAUCCUAGGGAUUGACAUGCAGCCUCCCUGUCCUCCACAUUCCUAAAACCAUGACCCAGUGUUUACAUCCUCCAGGGCAGCCUAGGUCAUUCCAGAGGGGAAGGUGCUAUGCAGGAUCCCUCAUUAGACUCAUAGUGUACACUCUCGGUACAGAUUACUGUGCACUCUCCCAGUUUCUGAUUUUGUGGGUGAACCUCAGAGCUUGCUUCCCUGAGACUGUAACACAGCAUUGAUAUCGUCUCUGACACAUAGCAUUGAUAUUGUCAACUAGGAACCAUGCCAUUGGAAAUUUGUCCUUCUGGAGUCCGUGGUUCCCAUUAUCUGAACAAAUGGAACUCUUCAGUGACAUCUGCAGGGAAGGAUGGCCUCUCCGAGGCACACUGCACUCUCCCUUGCUUUGGUCCCGCCGAGCCCCAGCAGCUGUUCAGGGCAGAGUGAUGUGAUCCUAGCACUGUGGUUUCAGAGAGUGAAGUAGCAGAUCAGAGGGGCUGUGAUGUGCGGGCGAUGGAAAGCAUGGAUCUGCUAGGUAAAGAACAAGGCUCUGAUUUCUGGCGCCCUCUCCUGCUGGUUCCUGACACGCUCUCCCGGUGCCUUGUUAAUGGCUUUACCAAAUCAGGGAAAGACGCUUGGAAACAAAGGCCCAGCGGCAGGCAUGGGGUUAAAUUAUAAGAGUGUAAGCCAUUUACACUUGAGCAUUGACUCUCAGCUUCAGUGACUUCAUCAAUCUAACGGGGUGGGACAGAGAGCUGGGGCUGGCAGGAUGCGCACCACAACUCUGGGACUGACACAUCCAUUCCAUUCGGCUGGGGUCCUGAGAGCCACUUGUGUCACUGGCCUCCAGACAAGAACCAUGUUCCCAGGAGGGUGGCAGCUACUUACCCUGUUUGCAAUGGUGAUGACACGGUGAGUGGCUUCCGCUUCCAGCUGUUAAAAACAAGGGCGAGAAGGAACCACGGGUUAUCAUUUCCUUCAAGAAGCUGCACCUGCUGGAGAGCUCUCUGCAUAGAAAGUGCCAGGGCAGCUGACACAGCAGAGGGGCUGCCUGCACCCACAGGGGCUGGCAAGACCCUGGCACCAGGCUCCAGCCACCAGGGUUUCCAUGGAAGGAGAAUCCCAAGAUUUAGGAUACCGGAUACCAAGGUGCACCCUUGGCAGAUGAUGCACAGGGCUUAGAAAGUCUUAGGUGGCGUCGGGGCGAUGCCAGGACUUCACAUGAGCCAGGCAAACAUCUACCAACGGAGCUUCAUUCCCAGCCCUGGUGCGGAUUUCUCUACUGACUCUGAGGUGCUCAAGCAGGACAUACAUUUACGCCAGAGACCGACGGGGACAGGACGAAGGUGGGAGAAAUUGGCUCCUGGGUGGUGGUAGGACCACCAUUGGGUCCUACCAAUGUGUGUAGAUCACACUGGGUCUCCUGGAGAUCUAACUACCUCCAUGCUGUAAUUGACUGAUUGACUGAGAUAGACUCUAUGUACCCCAGGCUGGCCCUGAAACCUGAGACCUUUCUGCCUCAGCUUCAUGAGAGCUGGGAAUCAACAGGUUCCACAUCUCCUUCCUAUUACUUUGUGUUUUACGCUUUGGAGAAAGGAGAGGCUGCUUCUGCUGCAAAUGCAAAUGCUGAAAAUGUUUCAACAGGACCCUAGCACAAGAAGACAUUCUUUAUCUAACAUGCUUCUGCCAGAGCAGACUCUCAGCGGCAGACCACUGGAUAUCCAAAUUAGUGCCCUAUGGAACUAAUUUGCACGCAGGGGUACAAAGCAGACAGUAACAGUCCUUUCCUUUGCCUUGGUCUGAGUAAUGGGGCUUGGGGAAACACAUGCUUUGUUUCUGGCGGGAAGGGUUCAAACUCUUCCUCAGUUAGAAUCUAGUUCCCAGAAUGCACAGUCCCGGCUUUGAGCUUGAUUUUCUUCUAACACGCAAAGGCUCUGUCUCUUUUGUCUCCAUAUUCAGUUCUAGAUAAAGUGACCCCGAAAUGAUCUCUCCAAUGCCUUGAAAUUAGAACUAAAUAGGACAUUGUGGGGUUUACCCUGUCCUUCCGAGGAAAGCCAAGGUAGCCCCAGCAUAAAGAAAGCUUUUUCUUGGGAAGCUUCCAGAUGGGAAUUUCACCUAUGGGGUGACAUAUCUUUAUUUUCUUGUAUUUAUUUUCUGAGAGAGGUUCUCAUGUAGCCCAGGCUGGCCCCAAACUUGUUACGAAACAUAUUUUUGACAUCUCUUCUAAAAGAUUCCACGAGUGUUACAGUCUGACAAGUAAUAUUUUCCAUAGUCUCAUGAUACUAAUUUUUGGUCUCUCCAUAGUGGUUGUAUUUCUGGAAUGCAAGAGGCAAGGCUGAGCUGGAGGAAGAAGGUCAUGGAGGGGCGGGGGGAGUGUCUUCCCUUGUCAGUCUCUGGCUACUUCCUGUUUCGCUCUUUUCAUCAAGUGAUCCGUCCUCCUUUGCCACUUGUUCCUGUCACCAUGAGAUUCUGCCCAAGUGGAAACAUCCACUGAGUUUGUUGAAACUAAAGCAUGAGCAAUAAUAAGUAACGGUAAUAAUUAAUAAUGAUAGUUUUCCUCAGCCUUAUUUUCAGUGACAGAAAGCUAACAAACACAGGAAGUCUACAUGAAAGGAAAGCAGCUGACCGUGGACACAGGAAGUUUCUCUUACCUCCUCUGGAUGGCUGAUCUCAAUUCCUUCUGGGCCUGUGAUACCCAAAUCUAGAGCCUCCUUAGCACCCUGAAUAACAGUGAGAAAAAGACAACAGAAUUACAGAGGUACAAGAAACACCCAACCUCAGGGGCAGUAAAGUAUGCUUGCUCUAGGCUCCCUUCUGUACAUUUUCCAUAGGAGAAACCGGCCUCAUGUAGUAAAUAUCUCCUGAUUCUCUUCUCACUUCUUAAGGACUGUAUGACCUCUCUUAUUCUUAAAAAUACAGCCCAGCCGCUAAUCGACAGCCUGGGGACGCCAAAGACAAACACGGGUAGUCGGUUUAAAGUUAGAGCUCUCAUAUCAGCAACUCCUAGGAUUAGCUUCGCCCCAAGACAACCAAGGGUCCAUCCUCUGUACCAGAGAACAAUGUUUAUGAUGUAACCGUUCUGAUACGGAGGUGGAGGGAAUGGAGUGCUGCUAUUUGCUUUGCGUGGCUACAUCUCAAAAAAUACUCCCGAGAGAUGCUCUAAAUGAUUGUGUUAUAAUAGAAUUUAUCAUAACAUAACAUUCACACUUAAUUAUCAUCUAAGACGUAGAAACCUCUUGGUGUGUGUGUGUGUGUGUGUGUGUGUGUGUGUGUGAAAAUUUGACACCCCAGAUGUUCACACCUCUCACCAUCUUACUGCUUGGUUUAAGUGAGCCUUGAAGGACAGUGACAGGUGGUCAACGUGUCCCUGUAAACUAUCUCCAUUGCCCACCCCCCCACGACCUCAAUUGCAGACUUGCCUCAGCCACAAGCUCCCCAUUUUCUGCGUGGACCCGGGGGAUCGCCCCAAAGUCCCUGCAGGCAUGGAACACUUGGUACAGCUCACUGUCUCGAAGCAUGUACAAGUCCUUGUAGGUCAUGAACAUCUGGAAGGAGUUGACCCCUUUCUCUCGCACUAGUGUCUCCAUUUCUGCUUUCACCUGGAAAGCAAGGUGCAAAGUCAGUGCCCAGUAAGACGAGCAGGUGCUGGCCCAGUGGAGAGAUGGGGCAGGUCCCAGGUCGGUGCUGUGAACUCCCAGUACACGCAGGCCACAGCCUUCUGCCUGAGCUGAUCAUUCAGCAGUAAUCCCCACUCGAUGUUCCAGGUACCUCAUGUAUACAUCGGGAUAUCCUGAGCACUGCAGGGAGCCAGUGCUCCAGAGUCUGGCCUUAGACUCUGUUGCAACUUGAUGCUCACUGUGAAUGCUGGGAAAUGGGCUCUUUCAGUGAGGCAGGACAGGCCUGCUCACUAUUUUCAUGGACUCCUAAAGGUUUUGUUUGGGACAUAGGGAAGCUGGAAUGGUGGUGGGUGAGGUUCCUGCAUAAAGAAGGGCUUCAGGGCCCAGCCAGCUCAGUCACACACCUAUUCUGACACCAGCCCUCUGGUGCCUUCCUUGGGGGGCUUCAGCACUGUUACCUUGGGUGCCCACCAGGUGAUCCCCACAUGGAGGGCAUAGUCACAGCAGACCUUGGGGUCAGCUAGAGCCCUGCACUUCUCAUAGGCUUCCACGAGGGAGGUCUCCUUGUCAGGCAGGACGUGACCGAUGAUCAUGGUGGUGCCUCCGACGAGGGCUGCCUGAAGGAAGAGGGAGGGAAGGCGGUCUUGUCACAGCUCUGCCUGAACUCGUCACCAUCAUGGUGAGACACGGUGUUCAGGUGCACCCGGAACAACCAGGGAGGAUCAAACACAGUAAGGUCUGCUCAGGGGAGGCUCAGAGGUGUGAUGGAUGAUUUUCUUUAGACCCGUGGGUUGAGCAAAUAAACCUGCUUCUUCCUCACUAGGUUGGUUCUUUGGAAAAAGCACUUAGCAUACUGGGGAGUCCAAGCCUGACCGCUACCUUCCCGACAGGGUUUCUCGGUGUAGCCCUGGCUGUUCUGGAACUCACUCUGAGACCACGCUGGCCCCAAACUCGGAGAUCUGCCUGCCUUUGCCUGCUGAGUGCUGGGAUUAAAGGCAGUGCCACCACUGUCUGGAUUUUCUGUCACUUCUUAUGAAGCAGUUUUACUUAACUUGGAAGUAAAAAUGAGUGGGUCAAAAUUCACAAAAUAAAGUACUGUUUUGGUAUGGGAGUUUUCAAAAAAAAAAAUUCACCUGCAUCUUCCAUAUCAGCCCCUGGUCCCCAUGUCCCCUCCCUGAGCACAUGAGCACCCCUUUAAAAUAGAUUUAUUUAUUUAUUUAUUUAUUUAUUUAUUUAUUUGGAGUACACUGUAGCUGUCUUCAGACACCCCAGAAGAGGGCAUCAGAUCCCAUUACAGAUGGUUGUGAGCUGCCAUGUGGUUGUUGGGAUUUGAACUCAAGACCUCUGAGCAGUCACCCAAAGGUCAGGGUUGUAAAGAAGUCCGACGAAGUUGUCUUCUCUAUAAAGUCAAAUUCCCUGAUCACAAGCCAGAGACACUCCUGGGGACUAAGGCCCAGAAAAUGAGUCAAGCAGCCAAACAACAAUUAAGAAUGAAAACUCUCAGA